GAGAAUGGUUGUAGGUACAAGCAAAGCUUUAAGAUCAGAGACACAGCAGAAAUCUUAAGAAAGGUAACAGUUCUUUGAAAACCUCUAGGCAGAUGCUGUAAACAAGAAAGAGGUCAGCGAGGCAAAAAGAAAACCUGCAGUGCUUCGUUCACAGUCUGAUGCUUCUCUUGGAGAUGGGACAAAGAAAGUUUGGCCUGGCUAAAGGUUAGAAUCACAGAAAGGCUUUAGAACUGUGAGUAAACAUAACUGCAGAAGUUCAGUUGAUUUCUGACCUGGUAUGAGAUACCAAAAUACACAUUAAAGCAUCU